CUCGCAUUCACAAAUUCAUAGUGUACCUGAAACUCUUUCAGAGCACGCUCUCCGGAAUGAAAGGGCUCACAGUUUCCAUCAUUUGGAUUGCAGUCUGCUAUGCCGCAGUCGCCAAGGCGCAGAAUUUUCCGCACAACUCCAAAACGGACUUGACAGCUGAAAAUUUCUGCUAUACGACGGAAGGUGAAAUUGGCAAAUGCACAUCGGUCCGUUCCUGUCACCCGGAAUUAAAGUUGUCCGAAUUGAAAAAUUCGAAAUUGUGGGCUACCAGUACACGCGUUACUUGCCAUUAACACCGUCUGAAGACCUUAUAGGCAAUCGGACCAUAAUUUAAGAAGGCCAGUGAAACGCAGCAGGGGGUGUUAGGGAAUGCGCGGAACACUGGCGAGAUGACUUUUUUUCACUUUUGAAUUUUAAAUCAUUUUUACUAUUAUUGGCUCAUCAAUUUUCACACGCGUGAAUGCAGUACGCUAUUUUGGUUUUAGAGAUUUCACAGCCAAAUUGUUUUUUUGUUUUUUUCUUCUUUUCUUCGAAUAAUAAACAACACUUAAUCCAA